AGAGUGAACGCUGGCGGUAGGCCUAACACAUGCAAGUCGAACGGCAGCACAGGAGAGCUUGCUCUCUGGGUGGCGAGUGGCGGACGGGUGAGGAAUACAUCGGAAUCUACCUUUUCGUGGGGGAUAACGUAGGGAAACUUACGCUAAUACCGCAUAAGACCUUCGGGUGAAAGCCGGGGACCUUCGGGCCUGGCGCGGAUAGAUGAGCCGAUGUCGGAUUAGCUUGUUGGCGGGGUAAAAGCCCACCAAGGCGACGAUCCGUAGCUGGUCUGAGAGGAUGAUCAGCCACACUGGAACUGAGACACGGUCCAGACCUCGUACGGGAGCAGCAGUGGGAAUAUUGGACAAUGGGC
rnacentral:rRNA from 1 species